GUACUACUCCCUCCGUCCCAAAAUUCUCGUCUUAAAUUUGUCUAAAUACGGAUGUAUCAAGUCAUGUUUUAUUAUUAGAUGCAUCCGUAUCUAGACAAAUGUAAGACAAGAAUUUUGGGACGGAGGGAGUACUAC
rnacentral:pre_miRNA from 1 species